rnacentral:rRNA from 1 species
AUUGAACGCUGGCGGCAGGCCUAACACAUGCAAGUCGAGCGCGAAAGGCCUUCGGGCUGAGUAGAGCGGCGGACGGGUGAGUAACGCGUAGGAAUCUACCUGGUAGUGGGGGACAACUUGGGGAAACUCAAGCUAAUACCGCAUACGCCCUAUGGGGGAAAGUGGGGGACCUUCGGGCCUCACGCUAUCAGAUGAGCCUGCGUAGGAUUAGCUAGUUGGUGAGGUAAAGGCUCACCAAGGCGACGAUCCUUAGCUGGUCUGAGAGGAUGAUCAGCCACACUGGGACUGAGACACGGCCCAGACUCCUACGGGAGGCAGCAGUGGGGAAUAUUGCGCAAUGGGGGCAACCCUGACGCAGCCAUGCCGCGUGUGUGAAGAAGGCCUCGGUUG